CAGAGGCAGAGGCAGAGGCAGCAGCAGCAGCAGUCGCAUCCUUCACAUGUUUUGUAUACGAUCUGAGGCAGUUGCAAUUUAUGCACACAACUUGUCAACGAUGGAACGGUGGCUGGAGGGAGUAGCUUACAAGUGCUGCAUUGGUUAGCCCUGGUGUGGAGAGAAGUGAAGAGGUGGCAGGUGGUUGGGGAAGAAGGAUGAUAGCAGCAAGCAAUUUACACCGCACAAUGCGUUGACACACGUCGUCCGCAAAUGUGCGGCCAGAAGACAAUAGAGAAAGGCACACAGGCAUCCUGGGGAGCGACCAAGUCAGACCUGAUCCGGGUCUGAGAUGCAGCUUCGUGCCUCAUUAAGCCAGAAAAGUGUCAAAUGUCCUGGGUGGCUGCCAAUGCCAGCAACAACACUUCACCCUGGGCCAGCCACUCCAAGUGGCUUUAAUUUUGAGCUAAAAUUUACGACUGUGUACGCCAAGGCGAAGGUUUCAUUCACACCCAUUUAUCCUUGACGCUGUACUCCCCCCAACUUUCACCCACCCAGCUUCAUAAUUCACACAAGUGUUGACAAUGAAAAUGAAAAUCCCAUUAAAAUGCAAUAUGUUGCAGCAACAGAGAGACAGCACUGGACGGGACAGAACCGGACAGGACAGGGGACACGGACACUGACACUCCACUCCACUCCACUCCACUCCAGCCAAGCGGC
rnacentral:lncRNA from 1 species